AUGGAAGUGACUUUCUCAACCAAAGCACUACAAGAGGAGGAACUCUCUCCAGUAAAAAUUGAUAGCUUUUUAUCCAGCACAGAAAACUAUUUACUGGAGGUUCAAAUCAGGCAAUCGGAAAAUGUCCUCAGAUCUUUUGAAGCUCUGAUGUUGGGAGAGCCUCAAAUAAAGCAACCUCCUUUUCACCACACACCAGUCUGUGUGACCUUUGAACUGCUAAAUGCCCAGCCAGAGGAGGUGACAAAGUCUUCAGUAAAAGCAUUGUGGGAGGAAUAUAUAAAAUCAAAUAGAGUGCAAGAGGACAAAAUCGAGGAGCUGCAUGCAGAUCAGUGCGAAAUAAGAGAUUUACAAAUUGUGAA